CUGCACUGUGCACCGUUUUAAACAUAAAUGUGAUGAUUACCACCCAGGAAGCUCGCCUUGGGGCAGGCAGGGUGCCCUGUCCCUCUGCCCGUGGAGCUCCAGGCAGCAGGCAUGGGCAGUACCGCUGCUCCAUGUGCACACAAGGCCCAGACUCCACACAGGAAAACUGCCAUCUGAAAGGAGAAUUGGAACGCACAGCCCAUCUGACUCUUGUCUUACUGAGACGUUAAACAGGAACACUCCCCAUAUCUGUAUGCACAGAAGACAAUACCGCCAGCUGUGUGAGGACCAAUCUUUCUCUCUCUUUUGGUGCACAAUUUUCCUGCACAAUAACCACUGACUUGUCUUUCCUUUCUGAAGACAAUUGUCCACCCGAGUGUCAGAUGAAGGGUGAAUUAUCUCCGAGAUACAGCGCGGGAGCACGACCAUGUUUCCAGUGCUGAGGCUUCCUCUGCAGCUCUCUGAACCUGUGUCGGUGCGUCUGCAGGCAGACGCCCCAGUCUGUGCUCGGGAGGCAGCCCUUGAAAGGGAGCCAGGAGGCCCAGACACACACAGGCACCUGUGCCCAAAUCCGGGCGAUGAUCCAGAAAUUAAGCGCCCAGGUCUGUCUCUAAUUGCACGUUUCAGCAGCGCCGCCCACCUAAUACAUCACUCUCUGAUGUGAAGGGAGGGGGAAAUUGCAGCCAGCCAGUCUGGUCUUUCCUCUGGAAAGGUUGGGAGAUGUCAGAGGAGUGGCAGCAGCAAGUCGUCUCACGUGAACCCGGAGGUGCUCUGUGGUUCCCCAAGGGGCGGAGCCUGCGCUGCUGGGGUCUGGGAUGGAGGGGCUUUGCACUGGACCACCUGAGCUAUCCAGGGUGUGGGGCUCCAUAGAGGCCCAGAUAGGGGCUCAGGGACCUCCAGCCAGGGCAGAAGAGCUCAGGGGUGGUUUCCUGGCUCUCUGCAGUGAGUAGGGUGUUAGAAGGCACCAAAACAAGGCCCCUCCCCCUUGGAUCUGCAGGACAUGGGCUGGUCGUAUGUCAGCUGUUGCUGCCACAGAAGUCAGGCUUCCAGGGGUGGAGUGAGCCCUGGGGUGACCUGGUGAUUCUGCAGCCACUGUGACAAGGCAUGGAGUGUCUUACGGGUCCCCUGCGGUCCAGUGUUAGAGCACCAAGUUACGUAACCCAUGUGACCCUGGGCUUCCCAACACGGCGCAGGCUUUCCCGUAGACCCUCCUUCACGCUGGAGCCCCUUUGACAGGAAGGGUGAGAUCAAAGGAAUCCUUCUCUCCAUGAGGAAUGCCGGCGCUUGCAGCAGCUGCUCUGCGAGGGCCCGCAUGUUUGCAGACCCGGACCUCAGGAAGGGAAUGCAGGUGACCACAGCAGCGCAUUCGGGAAGGUUCGGGGCCAGCUGGCGGCCACAUGAGGAGCCUGCCCUCCCAGGAGCAACGGUCCAUCUGCCUGUCAGAAAGAAGACCCAGACACAGUCCCGGAUGCAACCAUGACUCUCAGCACCAAGGCAUCCCCCCUUCAGCGUUCAGAAUCACCCCCCACCGUGUGUGGAAAUGCACCUUCUCUUCUCCUGGGAGACGUUCCUCCCAUCCAACUGUCUGGUUCCAGGAAGAUACUGUGCUCAUACAUGACUCCGCCCCCAUAGCCACCACUGAUUGGUCUAUGGGUGGUCACCUCACCCCAGAUUGGCCUUUCUGGGACUUUUCAAACUGGAACUGACAUGAAGCCAAGAGGAGGAAGAGACCGCAUGUUUUCUGGCAUAUGGAGAAGGCUGAUCUACCAUGACAAAGAGUUAAGACAAUCUCAUUAGAAGGCAGAGGAGGUGGGGCUGGACCACCCAGGGCCGGCUGCUCUGACGCUCACCUGCACAUCUGACCUGCUCUUUGGCUGCACAACCUGAGUCCAAGAGCAGACCCACAGGGCUCCCUGCAGAGAGUUCAAAGCAGAGGCUAUUUACAGAGGUCCAAGUAGGGGUGGGGAACCUGCAUCCCACGAACUGGAUAAGCAGGGAAACUGUUAUCCACCACAAGCCCCAGGGCACAGGUGUGGGGCUUUGUUUCUGGAAUGCAGGGAGGGUUGUAACUCUGGGAGAGGGGUCACCUGGCAGGAUCUGAGAUCUUAUUUGGGGAAAAACUUCACUGCUAAACAUCAGUCAGGCAGGGGCAAUACCUGCUCCAACUUCUGUCUUCUCCCAUCUUAGGCUUCUCCUGGGGACUCUCAUCAGUCAAAUCCAACAGAAUCCAGAGGGCAGGGAGCCCCACUGGUGCCAUUUAUAGAGGUCAGCCUGUGGGCACAGUGAGGUCAGAGAAGGGCACGGAAUCGAUGCAGAGGGGCAGUCAAAGAGUAACUUGUGCAAAACAACCCUUCUUGGAUUCCUUGAGUCAGUAAAUGUUCCCAUUGGUCUUAGCAUUUCUGAGUUGCAUUUCUCUUAUUUGACUCCAAAACUCCUGUUCUGUAAGUAACUCCCCAAAGACAGUAAGUUUCUCAAACCAGUUACUAAAUCAAGUAUAGGGGCUGGUGAAGCUAAGUGAUGCUUGUUGCAUGGCUAGAUGAGAAGGCGAGAAAGCACUGUGGAGGCUCCAUCAAUGUUAGAUAGAUGCUGCCCUGGUUUCAUCAUCUGCUACCUACCCUUAGGCAGUUUCUUUGUUAAAGCAUCUUAUGAUCUUGCCCAAGAUUACCUGUGAUAGAGUAUGAAGGCCCUUGGUGGCACAACCCCUCUUUUCAUGGUCUUUUAUAAAACCAGCUGCCCAGCAGUGCCUGAGACUGAGCAGACAUUCAAUUCAUGUUGUUUGAAUGAAGGGACAGACGAGUUGAUGAUGGAUAGAUGAUGAAUGGAUGGAUGGAUGGACGGAUGGGUAAGUAAAUGGAUAGAAGAGGAAAUGGAUAAAUAAGUAAAUGAGUAGAUGGGUGGAUGGGUG
rnacentral:lncRNA from 1 species